rnacentral:lncRNA from 10 species
GACGGCAUAAAUGUAAUGAGAUAUGCUGUGUGGAUAAGGAGCACAAGUGUCCUUUGAUUUGUGGGAGGAAACUCCGUUGUGGCCUUCAUAGGUGUGAAGAACCUUGUCAUCGUGGAAACUGCCAGACAUGCUGGCAAGCCAGUUUUGAUGAAUUAACCUGCCAUUGUGGUGCAUCAGUGAUUUACCCUCCAGUUCCCUGUGGUACUAGGCCCCCUGAAUGUACCCAAACCUGCGCUAGAGUCCAUGAGUGUGACCAUCCAGUAUAUCAUUCUUGUCAUAGUGAGGAGAAGUGUCCCCCUUGCACUUUCCUAACUCAGAAGUGGUGCAUGGGCAAGCAUGAGCAGUCCCACUACUGGGCGUCUACCCAGAAGAAAAGAAGUCAUUAUAUGAAAAAGAUACCUGCACACGCAUGUUUAUAGCAGCACAAUUCACAAUUGCAAAAAUGUGGAACCAGCCCAACUGCCCAUCAGUCAACAAGUGGAUAAAGAAAUUGUGGUGUAUCUAUACGUACCAUGGAAUACUACUCAGCCAGGAACGAAAUAAUGGCAUUCACAGCAACCUGGAUGGAUUUGGAGACCAUUAUUCUAAGUGAAGUAACUCAGGAAUGGAAAACCAAACAUCGUAUGUUCUCAAUUAUAAGAGGGAGCUAAGCUAUGAGGACGCAAAGGCAUGAGAAUGAUACAAUGGACUUUGGGGACUCUGGGGAAAGGACGGGAGGCGGGUGAGGGAUAAAAAACUACACACUGGGUCCGAGCACGGUGGCUCAUGCCUAUAAUCCCAGCACUUUGGGAGGCCAAGGCAGGUAGAUUAUGAGGUCGGGAGUUCGAAACCAGCCUGGCCAACAAGGUGAGACCCCCCCCAUCUCUACUAAAAUAAUUAGCCGGGCCUGGUGGCGCAUCCCUGUAAUCCCAGCUACUUUACUUGGGAGGCUGAGGCAGGAGAAUUGCUUGAACUCGGGAGGCGGAUGUUGCAGUGAGCCAAUAUCGCACCACUGCACUCCAGCCUGGGCAACAGAGCAAGACUCCGUCUCG